UGUCCGCUGUGCUCUUGAUCCAGCGAGGCGCCCAUUGCCGCUCCCGAUUGGGCUAAAGGCUUGCAAUUGUUCCUGCACGCUAAGUGCCUGGGUUCAUCCUCAUCAAGCUGGGUUCCACGGUUCUCUUCAUGACCCGCAGCUUCUAACAGAGCUAUAAAACUCUGUGCAUGGCCCAAGAUUCCAUUCCUUGGAAUCUGUGAGGCCAAGAACCCCAGGUCAGAGAACAGGAGGCUUGCCACCAUCUUGGAAGUGGCUCGCCACCAUCUUAGGAGCUCUGUGAGCGGAGACCCCCACCCCCCGGUAACAUUUUGGCGACCACGAAGGGACCUCCAAAGCGAGCUAGGGAGAUACCUGUGCCAACUCUGGCUUUGUUUGCUCUGCCAGACAAUCCUGAUGCUGCAAAGUCAAAUCAUCGUGAAGGAAGUUUGUGCAAAUGUGGGAAACAGGACUAUAAUCCUGCUUGAAGUUUGCUUAGAUUCCUGGGAAGUCUCCCUAUUCCAACCCUUUUUGAGAAAGGAAAUCUCCCAGAUGCAGUCAAUGUGUGAAAACCAAUCACUAGAAAGGAAAGAAACUGCCCUUCCUUUAAGGAAUGUGGAAUCUUUCCUUUUGAAGAUCAAGAUUUGGAGCCCAUAAUCCUGUGGAUGGAUGACGCCAACAUUCAGCUCUGCUGCUUAUUCCCCAUAAUUUCUCCGCUUGACCUGUGACGAAUCAGCUUCUGCCUUUCCAGGGACUUAGAACCUUUCUUAUGGGACUCCUCUCACUCUGAAUGAUGGUGAUUAAUUACCAGUGUACUUUAAAAGUCUCCUCUAUUUAAUUACAUCCUCCUGAGUAUUUGGACUAAUUCCUCUUAGUUUCCGGUGCAGAUCGGAAUGUUGCCUUGAGCAAGUCUCAUGUUUCUUUCUCCCGCUUACGCAGUCAAGCACAUACAUAGAUACGUAAUAAAUAUUGAUUAAGGUUCUGUA
rnacentral:lncRNA from 1 species